rnacentral:piRNA from 1 species
UCUCCAUUUCGUCAGAGGGAGAGCCUCCUC